rnacentral:rRNA from 14 species
CCUGGCGGCACUAGCGCGGUGGUCCCACCUGACCCCAUGCCGAACUCAGAAGUGAAACGCCGUAGCGCCGAUGGUAGUGUGGGGUCUCCCCAU